UCUGCAUAAUUUCACAGAGGUUACAACAAACGUCGUUAACAAACGAUUGCGUGUGACUAAUUAAAUCACGUUUGAUGUUGAGCAAAUUGCUCGUAAUCGCUACUACGUUACGGGCUAAUGAAUUCUCGGAGUAAUUAUUCACAGCGUGGCAAAUAAUUCGGGGAAUUUGAGGGAUUCGGUCAGGCAAGAAAUUAGACUAUGUAUCACUGUGAUGUUUUAUUGUCUUUCUAGGAUGUGGAGAAAGGAAGGUUGGAUUUUAAGCGGUAAAUGACACACUCCAUAUCCUCUGAUGACGUCGUGGCCGAAGAUAUCCAAGCCAUAAACAGACAUUAUUAACUGAGGCCCUAAGACACCAUUUUACAAAGGGUUCCGGGCUUCGAUUUCCUCAAGUACGUAAAUCGAGUAUCAUUGAAUCCACUCACAUCCAUGCGGGUUGGUACUCUUGAACGUGACUUCUAACGGAAAAUUCCAGACUGCCAGAUUUCGUGGAUCGCUGCUGCAUUUGCAUAUCUGCGUCAAACCUUCCUCGAUACCCUAAACGGGGUUGCACAAGUCACUAAACGAUCGACGAUAAAAUUCCGCCUUUGAAAUCGAUAGAACACUGCGUCUAGUCGACGCAACAGCGUGUCAGAUAGUAGGCGUUGUCAACAUCGUAAAACUCCGCGUGUUCGAUGGAUCCUGUGAUCGAGAGGAAGAAUUCACCUUCGACUGACAUGACCAACUUACGUAGGAAUCUAAUCGAAUUAAAUUCACAAACUCACAGAAAGGAAAUCUAACAGAUCCACGAUAUUUGUUUAUUCCUAGUAUCGUUAAAAUACAUCGACGUAGUACAAUCAUUAAAAGCGAGGAAGGUUCUAUGAACGAAAAGUGACUAAUGGUAGGCUUAUUUGUGCUGAUCGGAGCUUUGUGUACGAUUAAGCGAAUUGGUUGUCGUGGUAACGAAGCAUGCGCCUCCAUUUUCCAUAGCAUGUGGUUCAUUUCAAC